rnacentral:rRNA from 1 species
AAGCUGACCGCCUGGGGAGUACGGUCGCAAGAUUAAAACUCAAAGGAAUAGACGGGGACCCGCACAAGUGGUGGAGCAUGUGGUUUAAUUCGAAGAUACGCGAAGAACCUUACCUAGCCUUGACAUACUUUAGAACUCCGCAGAGAUGCAGAGGUGCCUUCGGGAGCUAAUUUACAGGUGCUGCACGGCUGUCGUCAGCUCGUGUCGUGAGAUGUUGGGUUAAGUCCCGCAACGAGCGCAACCCUCGUCACUAGUUACUAACGGUUCGGCCGAGGACUCUAGUGAGACUGCCUUCGUAAGGAGGAGGAAGGUGAGGACGACGUCAAGUCAUCAUGGCCCUUACGGCUAGGGCAACACACGUGCUACAAUGGCCAGGACAGUGAGACGCAAUACCGCGAGGUGGAGCAAAUCUAUAAACCUGGUCUCAGUUCGGAUUGUUCUCUGCAACUCGAGAACAUGAAGCUGGAAUCACUAGUAAUCGUAGAUCAGCUAUGCUACGGUGAAUACGUUCCCGGGUCUUGUACUCACCGCCCGUCACACCAUGGGAGUUGAUUUCACCCGAAGCGGGGAAGCUAAACUGGCUACCCUCCACGGUGGAAUUAGCGACUGGGGUGAAGUCGUAACAAGGUA